UACGUAGGGACCAAGCGUUGUUCGGAUUUACUGGGCGUAAAGGGCGCGUAGGCGGCAAUUCAAGUCAUCUGUGAAAUCUCCGGGCUUAACUCGGAACGGUCAGAUGAUACUGCUUUGCUCGAGUGCGGAAGGGGCAAUCGGAAUUCUUGGUGUAGCGGUGAAAUGCGUAGAUAUCAAGAGGAACACCGGAGGUGAAGACGGGUUGCUGGGCCGACACUGACGCUGAAGCGCGAAAGCCAGGGGAGCAAACGGG
rnacentral:rRNA from 1 species